GACGAACGCUGGCGGCGUGCUUAAUACAUGCAAGUCGAACGGAAAGGCCCUGCUCUUGCGGGGUGCUCGAGUGCCGAACGGGUGAGUAACACGUGUGUAGCCUGCCCUUGACUUUGGGAUAACUUUUGGAAACUGGGGCUAAUACCGGAUAGGAGCUCUUGCUGCAUGGUGGGGGUUGGUAAGUUUCGGCGGUUGGGGAUGGAAUCGCGGCUUACCCGCUUGUUAGUGAGGUAGUGGCUUACCAAGGUUUUGACGGGUAGCCGGCCUGGGAGGGUGACCAGCCACAAUGGGACUGAGAUACGGCCCAGACUCGUACGGGAGGCAACAGUGGAAAAUAUGGCACAGUAGGCGGGAGCCAGAUGCGGCAACGCCGCGUGCGGGAUGACGGCCUUCGAGUUAUAAACCACUUUCGCCUGUGACGAAGCGUGAGUGACGGUAAUGGGUAAAGAAGCACCGGCUAACUACGUG
rnacentral:rRNA from 1 species